rnacentral:rRNA from 1 species
UACGAAGGGAGCUAGCGUUGUUCGGAAUCACUGGGGGUAAAGCGCACGUAGGCGGUUGGGUCAGUCAGGGGUGAAAUCCCGGAGCUCAACUUCGGAACUGCCCUUGAUACAGCACGUCUUGAGUCCGGAAGAGGUGGGUGGAAUUCCUAGUGUAGAGGUGAAAUUCGUAGAUAUUAGGAAGAACACCGGUGGCGAAGGCGGCCCACUGGUCCGGUACUGACGCUGAGGUGCGAAAGCGUGGGGAGCAAACAGG